rnacentral:rRNA from 1 species
UGCCAGCAGCCGCGGUAAUACAGAAGCCUCAAGCGUUACCCGGAUUUACUGGGCGUAAAGGGUGCGUAGGCGGUUAUAUUAGUCUUGUGUUAAAACUUCAGGCUCAACCUGAAGAUCGCAUAGGAAACGGUAUAACUAGAGGAAGUGAGAGGUGAACGGAACUCAAGGUGUAGGGGUGAAAUCCGUUGAUAUCUUGGGGAACACCAAAUGCGAAGGCAGUUCACUGGCACUUUCCUGACGCUGAGGCACGAAAGCGUGGGUAGCGAACGGGAUUAGAUA